rnacentral:rRNA from 1 species
GACGAACGCUGGCGGCGUGCUUAACACAUGCAAGUCGAACGGAAAGGCCCUGCUUUUGUGGGGUGCUCGAGUGGCGAGCGGGUGAGUAACACGUGAGUAACCUGCCCUUGACUUUGGGAUAACUUCAGGAAACUGGGGCUAAUACCGGAUAGGAGCUCCUGCUGCAUGGUGGGGGUUGGAAAGUUUCGGCGGUUGGGGAUGGACUCGCGGCUUAUCAGCUUGUUGGUGGGGUAGUGGCUUACCAAGGCUUUGACGGGUAGCCGGCCUGAGAGGGUGACCGGCGACAUUGGGACUGAGAUACGGCGCAGACUCCUACGGUAGGCAGCAGUGGGGAAUAUUGCACAAUGGGCGGAAGCCUGAUGCAGCAACGCCGCGUGCGGGAUGACGGCCUUCGGGUUGUAAACCGCUUUCGCCUGUGACGAAGCGUGAGUGACGGUAAUGGGUAAAGAAGCACCGGCUAACUACGUG